rnacentral:rRNA from 1 species
GAUGAACGCUGGCGGCGUGCUUAACACAUGCAAGUCGAACGAAGCACUUUAACCUGAUUCUUCGGAUGAAGGUUUUUGUGACUGAGUGGCGGACGGGUGAGUAACGCGUGGGUAACCUGCCUCAUAGAGGGGGAUAACAGUUAGAAAUGACUGCUAAUACCGCAUAAGACCACGGAGCCGCAUGGCUCAGUGGGAAAAACUCCGGUGGUAUGAGAUGGACCCGCGUCUGAUUAGGUAGUUGGUGGGGUAACGGCCUACCAAGCCAACGAUCAGUAGCCGACCUGAGAGGGUGACCGGCCACAUUGGGACUGAGACACGGCCCAAACUCCUACGGGAGGCAGCAGUGGGGAAUAUUGCACAAUGGGGGAAACCCUGAUGCAGCGACGCCGCGUGAGCGAAGAAGUAUUUCGGUAUGUAAAGCUCUAUCAGCAGGGAAGAAAAUGACGGUACCUUACUAAGAAGCACCGGCUAAAUACGUGCCAGCAGCCGCGGUAAUACGUAUGGUGCAAGCGUUAUCCGGAUUUACUGGGUGUAAAGGGAGCGUAGACGGCUGUGUAAGUCUGAAGUGAAAGCCCGGGGCUCAACCCCGGGACUGCUUUUGGAAACUAUGCAGCUAGAGUGUCGGAGAGGUAAGUGGAAUUCCCAGUGUAGCGGUGAAAUGCGUAGAUAUUGGGAGGAACACCAGUGGCGAAGGCGGCUUACUGGACGAUGACUGACGUUGAGGCUCGAAAGCGUGGGGAGCAAACAGGAAUUAGAUACCCUGGUAGUCCACGCCGUAAACGAAUGAAUAAAUAGGUGUCGGGGAGCAAAGCUAUUCGGUGCCGCAGCAAACGCAAUAAGUAGUCCACCUGGGGAGUACGUUCGCAAGAAUGAAACUCAAAGGAAUUGACGGGGACCCGCACAAGCGGUGGAGCAUGUGGUUUAAUUCGAAGCAACGCGAAGAACCUUACCUGCUCUUGACAUCCCGGUGACCGGCAUGUAAUGAUGCCUUUUCUUUGGAACACCGGUGACAGGUGGUGCAUGGUUGUCGUCAGCUCGUGUCGUGAGAUGUUGGGUUAAGUCCCGCAACGAGCGCAACCCUUAUCUUCAGUAGCCAGCAAUUCGGAUGGGCACUCUGGAGAGACUGCCAGGGAUAACCUGGAGGAAGGUGGGGAGGACGUCAAAUCAUCAUGCCCCCUAGGGGCAGGGCUACACACGUGCUACAAUGGCGUAAGCAAAGGGAAGCGAGCCUGCGAGGGUAAGCAAAUCUCAAAAAUAACGUCUCAGUUCGGAUUGUAGUCUGCAACUCGGCUACAUGAAGCUGGAAUCGCUAGUAAUCGCGAAUCAGCAUGUCGCGGUGAAUACGUUCCCGGGUCUUGCACU